rnacentral:rRNA from 1 species
AGAGUUUGAUCCUGGCUCAGGAUGAACGCUAGCUACAGGCUUAACACAUGCAAGUCGAGGGGGCAGCAUUGGAGUAGCAAUACUUCAGAUGGCGACCGGCGCACGGGUGAGUAACACGUAUCCAACCUGCCGCUUACUCGGGGAUAGCCUUUCGAAAGAAAGAUUAAUACCCGAUGGUAUAAAGAGUUCGCAUGUUCUCUUUAUUAAAGAAUUUCGGUAAGCGAUGGGGAUGCGUUCCAUUAGAUUGUUGGCGGGGUAACGGCCCACCAAGUCUACGAUGGAUAGGGGUUCUGAGAGGAAGGUCCCCCACAUUGGAACUGAGACACGGUCCAAACUCCUACGGGAGGCAGCAGUGAGGAAUAUUGGUCAAUGGACGAGAGUCUGAACCAGCCAAGUAGCGUGAAGGAUGACUGCCCUAUGGGUUGUAAACUUCUUUUAUAAGGGAAUAAAGUGAGGGACGUGUCCCUUUUUGUAUGUACCUUAUGAAUAAGGAUCGGCUAACUCCGUGCCAGCAGCCGC